rfam:Ovis aries breed Texel chromosome 4, whole genome shotgun sequence.
UCCCUGGUGGCUCAGUGGUAGAGAAUCUGCCUGCCAAUGCAGGAGAGACAGGUUCAAUCCCUGGUCCAGGAA